rnacentral:rRNA from 1 species
GAUGAACGCUAGCUACAGGCUUAACACAUGCAAGUCGAGGGGUAACGAGAGGAAAGCUUGCUUUCCUUGUUGACGACCGGCGCACGGGUGAGUAACGCGUAUCCAACCUGCCCCCAACUAGGGAAUAACCUUGCGAAAGUAAGACUAAUACCCUAUAAUUUCCUCAGAUGUCAUCUGACGAGGAAUAAAGAUUUAUCGGUUGUGGAUGGGGAUGCGUCUGAUCAGCUUGUUGGCGGGGUAACGGCCCACCAAGGCAACGAUCAGUAGGGGUUCUGAGAGGAAGGUCACCCACAUUGGGACUGAGACACGGUCCAAACUCCUACGGGAGGCAGCAGUGAGGAAUAUUGGUCAAUGGGCGGAAGCCUGAACCAGCCAAGUAGCGUGCAGGAUGACGGCCCUAUGGGUUGUAAACUGCUUUUAUACAGGAAUAAAGUUAGCCACGUGUGGUUAUUUGUAGGUACUGUAUGAAUAAGGACCGGCUAAUUCCGUGCCAGCCGCCGCCGUAA